UUUUAAACGUAGAUGGAGAAAAAGAUAUUCCAAGAUUAACUACAGAGAGCUGACGGAUGCUGAAAGUCAGCGUUAAUAGGAAUAGGUAAUGAUCACUCCGGAGUUUCUUAAUCGAAAGUUCUUUAUCGAGUAAAUUAAGACGUUUAUCCACGAUAUAGGAUUAGAGUUCAUGAAAGAUCUAAGAUUUUUCAUCGACUUGAAGUAAGUGGCAAUUUAGUGUUUAAAUUGCAAGUAAGGUGGUACCACGGAAUAGAGCUUCCGUCCUUAUG
rnacentral:ncRNA from 1 species